rnacentral:rRNA from 1 species
GAUGAACGCUGGCGGCGUGCUUAAUACAUGCAAGUCGAACGGAGAGUAGCAAUACUCUGAGUGGCGAACGGGUGAGUAACGCGUUGGUGACCUGCCCCAAAGAGGGGGAUAACAGCUCGAAAGGGCUGCUAAUACCCCAUGUGGUCUUUCUAGUUGGAGAAGGAAGACGAAAGGCGUAAGCCGCUUUGGGAGGGACCUGCGUCCCAUCAGCUAGUUGGUGAGGUAACGGCUCACCAAGGCGACGACGGGUAGGGGGCCUGAGAGGGUGAUCCCCCACACUGGCACUGAAACACGGGCCAGACACCUACGGGAGGCUG